UAAUUUUAUACAUUUUAUUAAUAUAUUUUAACGUAUAAGUAAUUAUAUUAAAAUAGAAUUUACGAAUUUUGAAAUAAAUAUUUAAGUAACGAAUAUUUAUUUUUUAUACGUUUUAAAUAUUUCAACGAUUUAUGAAAUUAAAAUAAUUUUAGAACUUUUGUUGAAAAGAAAUCGAAUUACGAAAACCGUUUGAAGUUGGAAAACAAUCCUAAUUGGUUUUGGAUUCAAAUACUUAAACUCAAUCCUAGUUCUAGCCCAAAUUGAUAAAGCCCAAAUAACAAAAACUCAAAUUCUUUACUCCCUCCUCUUUCUAUUUCACGUGAAACCAAAAACACCAAAACCCUCAAACCUUGCUUCCUCCUUCACGUGAACCUGCAGCCCUCACCUCCUUCAGCGUCGCACAGCCGCCGCACCAGCCACCGCCUGGCCGCCGUCGUUGCUAGGCCACCACCUCCUCCGUCGAUCGCCACCACCACACGCCGCUAGCCUUGCCGCCGCCUGUCACUCCCAACCUCCGGCGGUCUCCCUCCUUUCUCCUCCACGCACGCAACAAGCUUCCCCUUUCUUCUUUUCUUGCUUCACCAUCAGCACAACCACCACCGUCGCUGCCACCUGACAGUCGUGCCGCACCGCACUCCUGCGCUUGUGCUGCACCGCCGUGGCCGCCGUCGCUCCCUGCCCAGCCGGCGCCCUUGCUCUUCACUCUCUUCUUGAUUUGGUUAUUUCUUAAACCCUAAGUAACUAAUUAUUUUAAAUUAAAGUUUGUUAAUUUAGAUUAUAUUCUUAAAUUAAAUUUAUAAUUUUUAGGGUAAAUGUGAUUUUCAGAUUUGAUGUUGAGAUUAAAAACGAAUUAAUUUUCAGUUUUGAUUAAUUAAAAUUAAGAUUAGGGCUUAAUCAUAAUUUAUUAACUUAAAUUAUGUUUUCUUGAAUUAAAGUUAUGGGUUUUGUGAUUUAAAUUAUAAAUUUGAGAUUAUAUGAAUUUUAUAAUAAAGUUAUUAAUUUUCAGAUUAUCUAAUUACAUCGAAAUAUUGGUUUUUGAUUGUUUAAAGUAUGAAAUUCAAGGUUUUUAUAAUUAUUAAUCAUGAUAGGUUGAGUAUGGAUUAUUGAAUUGAUUGUUUUGAGAUACUAGGAACGUAGGUUGACCUUGGGGAAGCUUUUAAAUGAAUUUAUAUUGCUGAAAAUUUAAAGUACGAUGUUUGCAAAAGUUUUCAACGAAUUUCAAUCACUAGUUCAAUAAUUAUGAUGCUAGGAAAGCAAAUGUUUAAGUUUUGAUAUUGGGGAAAGCUCUAAAUAUGUUUAGGAUACGUUUAGAAUGCUUUAAUUAUGGUUGCCAAUGACUAGAAGUUGAUUGGGAUUACUUGUUGGUUGUUUUAGGCGGAGAAUUCUCUUUAGGCGACUUUUGAAAGUGUUAAAGUGGCCUAUCAGUUUGUUUACACAAGUCUCUAAGGAUCAAUAAGCGUUGCCCAUCUACAGGUUUGAAGAUGAUGCAUCAUUGGGAUCGGGAUUAGAGAGCUUAUAGUUCUAUUUGUUUAAUUAAGUGAUUUAAUUUGUUAACUUGGAUUUGAAAUUUGUCGUACUAUUUAUAUUUCCUUAUUUUCGUUUAUUGGUUUUGGGAUUAAACCUGUAAUCAAUUGCCUAUAAACCUCAAAUUAGUUUUAUGUUUUCCGCUGCAAAAUUCUGAAUAAGCCGUUACGUUUUCACACGGGCGAUAAUGCCUUGAUAAUUCUCUAUAUUUUAUAUUAAAAGGUUAUUUUAGAAAAGAGAGAAUUGUCGGGGUG